GUCGGUAUGAUGUAUUGUUUAAUAUUUGCUACUUCAGAGAGUACGCUCGAUGAGACAUAUGAACCACCAAGAUCUCUGACCAC
rnacentral:snoRNA from 1 species